rnacentral:rRNA from 1 species
AGCGAACGCUGGCGGCAGGCCUAACACAUGCAAGUCGAACGAACCUUUCGGGGUUAGUGGCGGACGGGUGAGUAACACGUGGGAACGUGCCUUUAGGUUCGGAAUACCUCAUGGAAACUUGUGCUAAUACCGAAUGUGCCCUUCGGGGGCAAGAUUUAUCGCCUUUAGAGCGGCCCGCGUCUGAUUAGCUAGUUGGUUGAGGUAAUGGCUCACUAAGGCGACGAUCAGUAGCUGGUCUGAGAGGAUGAUCAGCCACAUUGGGACUGAGACACGGCCCAAACUCCUACGGGAGACAGCAGUGGGGAAUCUUGCGCAAUGGGCGAAAGCCUGACGCAGCCAUGCCGCGUGAAUGAUGAAGGUCUUAGGAUUGUAAAAUUCUUUCACCGGGGACGAUAAUGACGGUACCCGGAGAAGAAGCCCCGGCUAACUUCGUG